GACGGAGGGUGCAAGCGUUGUUCGGAAUUACUGGGCGUAAAGGGCGCGUAGGCGGUCUGCUAAGUUCGGUGUGAAAUCCCCUGGCUCAACUGGGGAACUGCGCCGGAAACUGGCAGACUAGAGUACCGGAGAGGAGGGUGGAAUUCCUGGUGUAGCGGUGAAAUGCGUAGAUAUCAGGAGGAACACCGGUGGCGAAGGCGGCCCUCUGGACGGAUACUGACGCUGAGGAGCGAAAGCCAGGGGAGCAAACGGG
rnacentral:rRNA from 1 species